CUAUCAUCCAGAAAGGCGGAGGGACUGGCCCUGCGAAGCCUUGGCAACCUUCAUAUCACCUAUGAGAGGUGCCAAAUCCAUCCCGGAGGAAUUCCGGGAAAGAUGAUGU
rnacentral:ncRNA from 2 species